GGGGAAUAUUGGACAAUGGGCGAAAGCCUGAUCCAGCCAUGCCGCGUGUGUGAAGAAGGUCUUCGGAUUGUAAAGCACUUUAAGUUGGGAGGAAGGGCAGUUACCUAAUACGUGAUUGUCUUGACGUUACCGACAGAAUAAGCACCGGCUAACUCUGUGCCAGCAGCCGCGGUAAUACAGAGGGUGCAAGCGUUAAUCGGAAUUACUGGGCGUAAAGCGCGCGUAGGUGGUUUGUUAAGUUGAAUGUGAAAUCCCCGGGCUCAACCUGGGAACUGCAUCCAAAACUGGCAAGCUAGAGUAUGGUAGAGGGUAGUGGAAUUUCCUGUGUAGCGGUGAAAUGCGUAGAUAUAGGAAGGAACACCAGUGGCGAAGGCGACUACCUGGACUGAUACUGACACUGAGGUGCGAAAGCGUGGGGAGCAAAC
rnacentral:rRNA from 1 species